AAGUCGUAACAAGGUCUCCGUUGGUGAACCAGCGGAGGGAUCAUUACCGAGUUAUUACUCCAAACCCUUUGUGAACCUUACCUUUUUGUUGCUCGGCGUACCGCGGGCCGCGGCUUCGGCCCGUCCCGCAGCGCGCCAGAGGACCCAACUCUUCAAUUUAUAGCGUACCUUCUGAUUUACAAAACAAACAAGUUAAAACUUUCAACAACGGAUCUCUUGGUUCUG
rnacentral:misc_RNA from 1 species